AUGCUGAAUUCUUCAUUCUAUUUAGAAAAUUAUAAUCAUUAUUCUUGGAGAAGCCUGUAUAAAUUCCUCUGUUUUCAUAUAAAUGUGCUUAGAUUGGUUCUACCUUAUAAAUAUAAUAUUUCAAAUGUCACAAGAGAUAAUAUCAUGGAAAUCGAUAUGGACAGAGGUCUUACUUGGAAGGCCUACAGUUUCAAUUGUUUACAACUGAAUUUUUAUGUUCCAUAUAUUUUAUGUUUCCACCUUCGCCACGUGUGCCACGCAUUUGUAAGUGGUGUAGGAGUAGGGGCAGUAAAUUUAGGAGGAGGUAAGAGUCCUGGAAGGCUCAAUAGCAGAGCUUCUAGUUGUCAGAUUCCUAGUAAUUCUCUUCCAUUUGUGUCCCCUUCCUUUCCCCAUACAAACUGUGUCCCCUUCCCCUCUCCAAAUUUCUACCUGCAUGGGCAAGAUGCUAAUGCAUCCUUGGAGCAAUGCUGGAUGUGGGUGUGGGGGGCAAAGGGGCAGAAAAGACAGUGGCAGUGGACAAAGAUACCCUCUUCUGUUUUUUUUAGAAGAUCAAGCUUCUGAUUCUUCUUGCUCAGUAUGUCCCACGCUUCUUGCUGAGUACUGUUGAAGGGGGACUAAAUUAUUGAUUGUUCUUCAGUUCUAGAGACAACUGAAAAAGAAGCUGGUCCCUCUGAACAGCAUCAUCUCAUUCUCUCUGCUUCCACAAUUGCCCCUAAAACAUAUCCUGUGUUUUUAGACAGUUUCAGUUUUUUCCAUCGAAUAAGAAUUUAGCUCAUUACCAGUGUCCUCAUGUAGCCCCAAACCAUGGGUUAAGAUUAAAUGAAACCCAUGAAAUGUACAUAGGUCAAGGGGCCUAAUUUGGGCUGGCAUUUACCCUUGUGUCUGCAUCCACUCAGGAUCUGAGUGCUUUGUGUCCCAAGAAACACAGGUGCUUGUUCUUUCCAGUCUCUAAACACUCGCAGUGGCAUAAUACUCUAUUUGGUCUCCCAAAGAGACUUCCACAAAUAGCCAUUGUAUACUUGCUUACAAAAAGGUAGAAACAGCACUGGAACCUACUUUCUGAAUCUGUCACUGUCUGCAUGAGAUCUAUGCAAUGGCCUUCAUCUCAUCAUUGACUGCGUAUCAUGCCAUAACUAAAAGGAAAGUGGUGCAUUUGGGGCAAAGAAGGCACAUGUGCCUUGAGUAAAUUAAUGAUUCUAAAAGCCUGUGAAUAGGGAGAAGUGGGGGCAUUCCAAAUCUUUGAAUUUAAGAGAAAAGAGAAAAGGAGGUGUUCUUUUUCCAU
rnacentral:lncRNA from 1 species